GUGCCAAGCAGCCGCGGUAAUUCCAGCUCCAAUAGCAUAUAUUAAAGUUGUUGCAGUUAAAAAGCUCGUAGUUGGAUUUCUGAAGUGGUCUGCUGUCUGCACUGCGGGCGGCAGACCACAUUCAUCCUUCUGUUAACACGUGUUGGCACUCCGUGCUGGACGUGGGCUCAGAUAUUUUACCUUGAGAAAAUUAGAGUGUUUCAGGCAGGCAAGGCCGGAAUACAAAAGCAUGGAAUAAUGGAGUUGACACGACUCUGUGGUUGGCCAGGGAAGUGUAAUGAUUAAUAGGAACAGUUGGGGGCAUUAGUAUUUAAUUGUCAGAGGUGAAAUUCUUGGAUUUGUUAAAGACUAACUAAAGCGAAAGCAUUUGCCAAGGAUGUUUUCAUUAAUCAAGAACGAAAGUUAGGGGAUCAAAGACGAUCAGAUACCGUCGUAGUCUUAACCAUAAACGAUGCCGACUAGAGAUUGGAGGAGAUAAUCGAGCUCCUUCAGCAUCUAAGGAGAAAUCAAGUCUUUGGGUUCUGGGGGGGAGUAUGGUCGCAAGGCUGAAACUUGAAGGAAUUGACGGAAGGGCACCACCCAGGAGUGGAGCCUGCGGCUUAAUCUGACUCAACACGGAGAAAUUUACCAGGUCCAGACAUUGAUAGGAUUGACAGAUUGAUAGCCCUUUCUUGAUUCUAUGGGUGGUGGUGCCAUGAUGUUCUUAGUUGGUGGAAGUGAUUUGUCUGGUUUAAUUCCGAUAACGAACGAGACCUUAACCCUACUAACUAGACCCAUGGAGUUAUUACUCUAUGGAGCUUCUUAGAGGGACCUGUGUGGUAAAACUCAAGGAAGUUUAAAGGCAAUAACAGGUCUGUGAUGCCCAAAGGCCGAAUCCAAGCACACUUGGGCGGCCGGGU
rnacentral:rRNA from 2 species